UAUGACAAAUCAUUUUGACCCUCUUUUACAAUCAGACAAUGAACAAAAACAACAGAUAGGCGGAUAGCAUUGAUGAUGUCUUUACACAGUGGGGUAGGGUAGAUGGAUUUGCCGGGGUGGAGGAAUGUUUAGAAAGGUUAUGACCUAGAAAGAGUGCCUAACAACACAAAAGGGGUGACAUUGAGGCCACCCAACCAGUUGAUCAGCAAUUGCCAUAUUAAGGCUGUAAAUAUGGUCUGAGAUUCAUAUUGAACAUAUGUGCGUUCUCCUGUCGUACUGGCAUUACUGAUCGUGAGGUGAUAGAGAGAGAAGACGCUAUACUUUUGGACCUGUAUACCUGGUUUACCAUCACCUUGUGCCCCUUUGGGAGUACAAUUUCAAGUGGACUUCAUUUAUUUAUUUCAAGAAGUUCAGGUGGUGGAGAUAUGGCCAAAAUCAAGAUGAGAUGGAGAGCUACAUUGCUAUGUCUAACAGUACUUAUGGCAACAACAAUCUUGACAACUGUGUCAGAACAAUCAACCACAGCUGAGCCCACAAUAACCACAGAUGCUCCAUCAACAACCACAGCAGCUGCCACAACAUCCACAACUGCCCCAACAACCACCACACCUGCACCAUCAACCACAACUGUCCCCAUGACAACCACAGCUGCCCCACAGACAACCACAGCUGCCCCACAGACAACCACAGUUGCUCCACAGACAACCACAGCUGCCCCACAGACAACCACAGCUGGUGAUACAACUACAGCAGCUGCACCAUUGAUAACAGAUUCUGCUCCCACAACAUCCACAGAUGCACACACAACAACCACAGAAGCACCCACAAAAACCAAAGAAGCACCCACAACAACCACAUCUUCUCCGACAACACCUACAGCAGCUCCAACAACCACAGCCAUCCCGACAACAACCACAUUUUCUCAAACAUCAACUACAGAAGCUCCCACAACCACAACAUCUUCCCCUAUAACAGCCCUAGCUGUUCCCACAACAAACACAGUUGCUCCCACUACAACCACAGACGGUAUUACGAUGACCACAGCUACACCAACAACAACCACAGAGUCUCCCACAACAACCACAGUUGCGGCCGCUAUGACAACUACAGCUGUGGCUACAACAACUACAGUUGCUCCCAAAACAACAGCAGCAACUUUUCCCACAACAACCACAGCAGAUGAUACGACAACUACAGCUGUGGGUACAACUACAGCCUUCCCCUCAACACCAACGGCAGCUCCAACAACCACAACAGAUUACUCUACAACAACCACAGCCAGCCCCACAUCAACCACAGCUGUUCCAACAACAACCACAGCUGCACCCACAUCAACCACAGAAGCACCCACAACAACCACAUCUUCUCCGACAACACCUACAGCAGCUCCGACAACACCAGCCAUCUCCACAACAACCCCAGACGCACACACAACAACCACAGAUGCACACACAACAACCACAGAAGCACCCACAACAACCACAGCUGCACAAUCCCCAACCACAUUUUCUCUGACAACAACUACAGCAGCUCCCACAACAACUACAGCUUCACCUACAACAACCACAGAUGCACCCACAACAACCACAUCUUCUCCAACAACAACAGCAGCUCCAACAACCACAACAGCUUACUCUAAAACAACCAAUGCUUCUACAACAACAACCAAAGCUGAUCCCACAACAACCACAGCCAUCCCCACAACAACCACAGCUGCUGCCACAACAACCACAGAUGCACACACACCAAUCACAUCUUCUCCAACAACAACUACAUCAUCUACAACAUCCACAACAGCCUCCUCUACAUCCACCACAACCAGCCCCACAUCAACCACAGCUGUUCCCACAACAACCACAGCUGCACCCACAACAACCACAUUUGCACACACAUCAACCACAGAAGCACCCACAACAACCACAUCUUCUCCGACAACACCUACAGCAGCUCUGACAACUACAGCUUCACCCACAUCAACCACAGAUGCACACACAACAACCACAUCUUCUCCAACAACACCUACAGGAGUUCCGACAACCACAGCUAUCCCCACAACAACCACAGAUGCACACACAACAACCACAUCUUCUCUGACAACAACUACAACAUCCACAACAGCCUCCUCUACAUCCAGCACAACCAGCCCCACAUUAACCACAGCUGUUCCCACAACAACCACAGCUGCACCAACAACAACCACAUCUGCACACACAUCAACCACAGAAGCACCCACAACAACCACAUCUUCUCUGACAACACCUACAGCAUCUCCAACAACCACAGCCAUCUUCACAACAACCACAGAUGCACACACAACAACCACAGCUUCCACCACAUCAACCACAGCUGUUCCCACAACAACCACAGCUGCACCCACAACAACCACAUUUGCACACACAUCAACCACAGAAGCACCCACAACAACCACAUCUUCUCCGACAAAACCUACAGCAGCUCCGACAACCACA
rnacentral:lncRNA from 1 species